rnacentral:rRNA from 13 species
GAUACCCCAGGUCAGGCGGGGCUACCCGC